UACGUAGGGUGCGAGCGUUGUUCGGAAUCAUUGGGCGUAAAGCGCAUGUAGGCGGUUAGGUCAGUCUGAUGUGAAAUCCCGGGGCUCAACCCCGGAACUGCAUUGGAAACUGGCUGACUAGAGGCCGAGAGAGGAGAGUGGAAUUCCUGGUGUAGGGGUGAAAUUCGUAGAUAUCAGGAAGAACACCAGUGGCGAAGGCGGCUCUCUGGCUCGGUUCUGACGCUGAGGUGCGAAAGCGUGGGGAGCAAACAGG
rnacentral:rRNA from 1 species